AGAAUCAACGCUGGCGGCGUGCCUAACACAUGCAAGUCGAACGCGAAAGUCCCGCAAGGGAUAGGUAGAGUGGCAAACGGGUGAGUAACACGUGGGUGACCUGCCUUCGAGUGGGGGAUAACGUCCCGAAAGGGUCGCUAAUACCGCAUGACAUCCUGCUUUUUAAGAGGCGGAGAUCAAAGCUGGGGAUCGCAAGACCUGGCGCUUGAAGAGGGGCCCGCGCCUGAUUAGCUAGUUGGUGGGUAAUGGCUCACCAAGGCAUCGAUCAGUA
rnacentral:rRNA from 1 species